GGCAGUUGAGGAGGAGGGAGCGCUUGAGGGGGACUGACUGGCCUGGCGUGCACUCCGCACCUCGGGGACGUUAUUGCGCGUGGAACGGCUGCUUUUGGAAGACUAUUGCCCAGAAGAAAAGAUGUUUGGUUUUCACAAGCCAAAGAUGUACCGAAGUAUAGAGGGCUGCUGUAUUUGCAGAGCUAAGUCCUCCAGUUCUCGAUUCACUGACAGUAAACGCUAUGAAAAGGACUUCCAGAGCUGUUUUGGAUUGCAUGAGACUCUGCAAUGCCUGUGUCCUGCUUGUGAAAAGAUGGAAGAAGUUGCCAGCAGGAUCAAAAAAAAACUGGAAUCAUGUGGUAGAUGCAAGGGCUGGACCCAGUCUAAAGACUACAUUGAAACCAAAGAAAGUGAAAACUCUAUCUGGGAACAGGAUAAAAAGCAACCAGAUCAGUAAACUGCAGAAGGAAUUUAAACGUCAUAAUUCUGAUGCUCACAGUACCACCUCAAGUGCCUCCCCAGCUCAAUCUCCUUGUUACAGUAACCAGUCAGAUGACGGCUCAGAUACAGAGAUGGCUUCUGGUUCUAACAGAACACCAGUUUUUUCCUUUUUAGAUCUCACAUACUGGAAAAGACAGAAGAUAUGUUGUGGGAUCAUCUAUAAAGGCCGUUUUGGGGAAGUCCUCAUUGACACACAUCUCUUCAAGCCUUGCUGCAGCAACAAGAAAGCAGCUGCCGAGAAGCCAGAGGAGCAGGGGCCAGAGCCCCUGCCCAUCUCCACUCAGGAGUGGUGACUGAGGUUUUUAUGUAGAAGGGGAACAAAAAAAAAAACAUCUAAAUUUUGA